UGCCUCAGUAACGGCGAGUGAAGCGGCAAUAGCUCAAAUUUGAAAUCUGGCCUCUCGGGGUCCGAGUUGUAAUUUGUAGAGGAUGUUUCGGGUACCGCCCCGGUUUAAAUUUCUUGGAACAGAAUGUCAGAGAGGGUGAGAAUCCCGUCUUGGACCGGCGGUAGGGCCUAUGUGAAACUCCUUCGACGAGUCGAGUUGUUUGGGAAUGCAGCUCAAAAUGGGUGGUAAAUUUCAUCUAAAGCUAAAUAUUGGCCAGAGACCGAUAGCGCACAAGUAGAGUGAUCGAAAGAUGAAAAGCACUUUGAAAAGAGAGUUAAACAGUAUGUGAAAUUGUUGAAAGGGAAGCGCUUGCAACCAGACUUGAGCGCGACGGUUCCCCUAGCCUUUUGGCUAGGUUACUCUGUCGUGUCCAGGCCAACAUCGGUUCUGAGGGUCGGUCAAAGGCUCUGGGAAUGUAUCUACCCACGGGUAGACUUAUAGACCAGGGUGUCAUGCGACCUCUCGGGACCGAGGAACGCGCUUCGGCUCGGAUGUUGGCGUAAUGGUUGUCAGCGACCCGUCUUGAAACACGGACCAAGGAGUCUAACAUCUAUGCGAGUGUUUGGGUGUCAAACCCGGAACGCGGAAUGAAAGUGAACGGAGGUAGGAAGCUUCGGCUGCACUAUCGACCGAUCCUGAAGUUUACGGAUGGAUUUGAGUAAGAGCAUAGCUGUUGGGACCCGAAAGAUGGUGAACUAUGCCUGAAUAGGGUGAAGCCAGAGGAAACUCUGGUGGAGGCUCGCAGCGGUUCUGACGUGCAAAUCGAUCGUCAAAUUUGGGUAUAGGGGCGAAAGACUAAUCGAACCAUCUGGUAGCUGGUUCCUGCCGAAGUUUCCCUCAGGAUAGCAGUAACGUUUUCAGUUUUAUGAGGUAAAGCGAAUGAUUAGAGGCCUUGGGGUUGAAACAACCUUAACCUAUUCUCAAACUUUAAAUAUGUAAGAAGUCCUUGUUACUUAAUUGAACGUGGACAUUUGAAUGUACCGUUACUAGUGGGCCAUUUUUGGUAAGCAGAACUGGCGAUGCGGGAUGAACCGAACGUGAGGUUAAGGUGCCGGAAUGCACGCUCAUCAGACACCACAAAAGGUGUCAAUGCAUCUAGACAGCCGGACGGUGGCCAUGGAAGUCGGAAUCCGCUUAGGAGUGUGUAACAACUCACCGGCCGAAUGCAUUGGCCCUGAAAAUGGAUGGCGCUUAAGCGUGCUACCUAUACCUCGCCGUUAGGGUUGACAUGAUGCCCUAACGAGUAGGCAGGCGUGGAGGUCCGUGACGAAGCCUU
rnacentral:rRNA from 1 species